UACGUAGGGGGCAAGCGUUGUCCGGAUUUAUUGGGCGUAAAGAGCGUGUAGGCGGUUAGGUAGGUCCGUUGUGAAAACUCGAGGCUCAACCUCGAGACGCCGAUGGAAACCAUCUAACUAGAGUCCGGAAGAGGAGAAUGGGAAUUCCUGGUGUAGCGGUGAAAUGCGCAGAUAUCAGGAAGAACACCAAUGGCGAAGGCAGCUCUCUGGGACGGUACUGACGGCUGAGACGCGAAAGCGUGGGGAGCGAACAGG
rnacentral:rRNA from 1 species